rnacentral:rRNA from 1 species
UACAGAGGGUGCGAGCGUUGUUCGGAACUACUGGGCGUAAAGCGCACGUAGGCGGCUUUGCAAGUUAGAGGUGAAAGCCCAGGGCUCAACCCUGGAAUUGCCUUUAAAACUGCAUCGCUAGAAUUGUGGAGAGGUAAGUGGAAUUCCGAGUGUAGAGGUGAAAUUCGUAGAUAUUCGGAAGAACACCAGUGGCGAAGGCGACUUACUGGACACAUAUUGACGCUGAGGUGCGAAAGCUAGGGGAGCAAACAGG